AUUAUUCACAGACACGCAAGCGUCAACGUAAUGUACGACUCAAUCCAUUGGAUUAUGGGCGAUCAGAAGAAGCAGCCCUCUCACAGUCAGAAAAAUUUCGGGUUCAGAAUUUCCUUCCAGCAAUUGAUCAGUUCCUGAGUUCACUGAAUCAACGGUUAAAGGCCUAUGAGGAAACCUGUUUACUUUUCGGGUUCUUGUUAAAACUGGAGUCAAUGAAUUGUAACGAAAUUGAAGCAGCUGCAGCAAAAUUGGUUGCUGAGUACAAAAAUGAUUUAGAUCAAACACUUGGAGUUGAACUUGUGCAGUUUACAGCAUUCUUCACUCAAUUUCUUGAAGACGAAGAUGAUGAGAAAGGGAGGGCACAUUACCUUUUCAAGCUGUUGAUAGACAAGAAAGUUGUAGAUACAUUUCCAAAUGUUGAAAUAAUGCUACGGAUGUACUUGCUGCUCUUGGUCACAAAUUGUUCUGGUGAACGUUCUUUCAGUAAAAUGAAGUUUAUUAAAAACAGACUUCGUACUACAAUGUGUCAUGAUAGGCUCAGCCACCUGGCUUUGAUGAGUAUCGAAUAUGACAUCCUCAGAGAGAUUGACUUCGAAAAGUUGAUCAAAAACUUUGCAGCGGCCUGGUCACGUAAGGUGCCUGGUCUGUAAAUAAAGGUAUAUGUAAGGGCUGUAACGAGCUGCCCUGGACCUUCCCCCUGAGAGCUGACGCCUGAGAGUUUUGGAGGCGAGCUAGACUGCUUCACUCGGGCCUCGCACUGGUGAGGGGCGGAUCACUGCGUUCCCAGAACACUCUACAGUGCUGGUUAGAAGGAAGAUUCAUCUACGGCCGUAGGAAAUAACUGUACUUUGUUUUAUUGAUUAUGCUUUGUUUUAGUAAUUGUGUUUGACUCCAGUGCUGUUUAUUUAAUGUUGGUGAGAUUGGUGACAGAGUUAAAAUUUUUGUGAAUAUUUCUUAGUAAAGAGAUAUCCUCUCU